UGAAUUGGGCCAAGCCCCACAUGGCGG
rnacentral:piRNA from 1 species